AGAUGGGAGAACAAUCUGGCUAUGACAUCUUUCACCAUACUGAUCCCUAGGGUUGACUGAUCUUGCUGGCUAGGUGGGUGUCCCCUUCCUGCCUCACUGCCACAUGUGUUUCUCUCCGGAAGCUGCAGCUAGGCCAGGUCAAAGUCCUUCCCCAAAUAGAGACCAUUGGUCUUUGGUCUAGGGUAUACGAGCAGGCUGUGUUUCCCUGCUAGAACCUCCAAAUAAGUUUUCAUAAGUUGACAGGUAUAUGGCUUCACCCUGCACCCACUACCCAAGUUCUGUGCCCCCCCACCAUAGUUCUCAUAAACUU
rfam:Erinaceus europaeus unplaced genomic scaffold scaffold00187, whole genome shotgun sequence